AUGUUUCGUGCAUUGACGGCGGAGUUUAUUCCCCUGACGCCCCUGCCCCCCACCCCUGGUCUUGAGCUUCAAGAAAUUUCUACACGCAUCACACAAUCGAGACAGGGCGGAGUUGCAACAAGCUUGGCUGGGUCCUGCUCUCCGGUGGGUCUGGGGUUCGAGUCCCGCUUGGGGUGCCUUGUGAUGGACCGGCGUCCCUCCCACGGUGUGUCCCCUCCUCCUCCAGCUUUGCCCCCUGCGUUGUCAGUCUCAUUUCGAAAACAUGACAUCUGGAAAUUGGCUCUCGGCCUGGAAGUCAAAGCCAGAAGAAAGUAUUCCAGGAAACCAAAACUUCGCUCGCUCCAUUAAUCCGACGCUUUUCUCCAAAGCAACUCCAGAAUUAUUUACCCGCAGCUGGGUGGUUUUACUGGAGUAAUUGAGGGAAAGUACCUUGCUCAAGAGGGGGUGCGGUGGUGCAGCUGUGCAGUGGGUUGGUCUUGGUCCUGCUCUUUGGUGGGUUUGGGAUUCGAGCCCCGCUUAGGGUGCCUUGUGAUGGACCGGCGUCCCGUCCUGGGCGUGUCCCCUCCCCCUCCGGUCUUACACCCCGUGUGCCGGGUUAGGCUCCGGUUCCCCGUGUCCCGCAUGGGGUGAGUGGUUCGGACGGACGGACCUUGCUCAGGGGUGCUAUGGCUGGAGGAGGGAUUUAAACCUGUGACCUUUAGGUGCCAAGGCAGCAGUCGUCCCAAAAUGACUGGCAUUUCAAAAUUGUUUAGCGAGAUUCUUUAGAUAUACCAAAGCUUUUACGCAAAGCAAAUAGCAGUUUUACUCGUUUUCAAAGCUGACAGUGUCUCAGUUCAAGAUAAAUCUCUUCCACUGUGGCGCAGGGACCCAGCUUUUAAUCUUAUUUUGUGCCGAAAAAUAUUAUCAUUAUUAUAUUUUACAUUUAUUCCUUUAGCAGACGCUUUUCUCCAAAGCAAUGUACAUAUAAGCAUAAGAAUAACGGUGGUAAUAAUAAUAACAAUCAUCAUCAUCAUCAUCAUCAUUAUUAUUAUUAUUAUUAUUAUUAUUAUUAUUACUGGGGGGGUGUAGUGGCGCAG
rnacentral:lncRNA from 1 species